AACGAACGCUGGCGGCAUGCCUAACACAUGCAAGUCGAACGAGACCUUCGGGUCUAGUGGCGCACGGGUGCGUAACGCGUGGGAACCUGCCCUUAGGUUCGGAAUAACUCCCCGAAAGGGGUGCUAAUACCGGAUAAUGUCUUCGGACCAAAGAUUUAUCGCCUUUGGAUGGGCCCUCGUUGGUUUAGAUAGUUGGUAGGGUAAAAGCCUACCAAGGCGACGUUCCAUAGCUGGUCUGAGAGGAUGAUCAGCCACACUGGGACUGAGACACGGCCCAGACUCCUACGGGAGGCAGGAGUGGGGAAUAUUGGACAAUGGGCGAAAGCCUGAUCCAGCAAUGCCGCGUGAGUGAUGAAGGCCUUAGGGUUGUAAAGCUCUUUUACCCGAGAUGAUAAUGACAGUACCGGGAGAAUAAGCUCCGGCUAACUCCGUG
rnacentral:rRNA from 1 species